ACAGAGAGAUCAUACAUAUGAAAAGUAUAAUUUGCUCAGAGUCCGGAGACAGUGGUGGUUCGGUAGUUUGAGGAUGCCUGAUUUAAACUAAUGUCUUCCUAAUGUGCUGGCUUUCCAUCUCCUACCCCACCCCCUUCUCUACUUUUUCAGGUAUUUGACGAAUUUAAUCGGAUUACCAGUCGGAACCUUGAGGCAGACUUCUUUGAGGCUCUGGGCCAGCACACCCCACGUUUCAUCCAAUUGUUCAAGUCAAAAAAAGGAUCGGUGGGACAGAAACUGCAGAGCAUCAACUGGCCGACACCGGACGUGACUGAACAGCGCUCUGUUGUCCUCAAAGGCAUUCCGAUUGUUCUUGGCGACGACUCCAAGGAUUUCUUCAAGACAUGCUUUGAUACAACGAGAGAUGAGGCCCUAUCAUCCGUCACUGUUGGUGUGCUGACUGUUCUCAGCGAAGACAGUCCUCAGGAGGGUCCAAGCUCAAUCCACCUCGAACCCAUCUCCACUGACAUUGUGCUUGAGGGAGGUAUUGUCAUGGAAAAGAUCAAAAACUUUCCACAGGCCUGUUAUUUGGCCUGAUAUAUGCUUUGCAUUUAGAUCACCCAAAAUGCAUGGCAAAUACUCUGAGGUUCGUUCAAACAGUGAUGCUUGGACUAGGAACCAAAGCUCUCUCACCUAAACUAUUAACUUUGAGAAACGCUCUACUGGAUUAGACCUUAGUCAAGAUAGUCAUCAACUAUCAGAUAGAACUUGGCACUUAAAAAAGUUGCACCGUUAAAUGUUAUGACAAAAGUUUGUUACUCUGGGGAAACUGUUAUAACUCUGUCAAUUGUUGAGAGCAAAGUACAAUGUACUCUUCUUCAUAGUGGUCAUUAUAUAUU